rnacentral:rRNA from 1 species
AUUGAACGCUGGCGGCAUGCCUUACACAUGCAAGUCGAACGGUAACGCGGGGGCAACCCUGGCGACGAGUGGCGAACGGGUGAGUAAUACAUCGGAACGUACCCAGUAGUGGGGGAUAGCUCGGCGAAAGCCGGAUUAAUACCGCAUACGACCUAUGGGUGAAAGCGGGGGAUCGCAAGACCUCGCGCUAUUGGAGCGGCCGAUGUCGGAUUAGCUAGUUGGUGAGGUAAAGGCNCACCAAGGCUACGAUCCGUAGCUGGUCUGAGAGGACGACCAGCCACACUGGGACUGAGACACGGCCCAGACUCCUACGGGAGGCAGCAGUGGGGAAUUUUGGACAAUGGGCGCAAGCCUGAUCCAGCCAUGCCGCGUGUGUGAAGAA